AAAGAUUUAACAUUUGAUACCUGAGAUAUCAAGUUUGAAGUCUUAUUAUUUUUUCUUGCUGAUUUUUUUUCGUAAAAUUUUUUUUUUAUUUGAGAGAUAGAUAGCACGCUACCCGCUUCGUUUUAUUUUAUUUAGAAAUAAACUUAGCUGGAAAAUGUAAAUCAACUAGGAUUCGAACUUAGGUCUCGUGUACCAACCACCAAACCCUUUGUCACCUGCUCUAGGGACGGUCUGUUUUGUAAAAAAGAUUGAAUGAAGCAUAUAUAGCUUUAUAGGAUCAGAGUAUUAUUCGGACAUAAAAAGAAAAACAUAUCUGGAUAAGAUCGAGGUGGAUGGACUGUCUAGCUAACGAACUAAUUAACAACUCCGAUACAUUGGAAUAAUUGUCUACUUGUUGUGAGAAGUAACCACCACGAUUUAGUAAAUAAAUAAUGCAAUGGCAAUGAGGCUUUUACAAAUCCCCCUUUCAUUUCGUAUUCUUUGUCAACUUACACGUAUAUAUAUAAAUACCACUUAUACGUCGACUCUUAUAUUCUUAUAUUCAAAAAUAAACUCUUAUAUUACUGACCGUUCCUUGAGCAAGUGGCAAAGGGUUUGGUGGUUGGUACUCGAAAUCCAAAUUCAAAUCCUAGUUGAUUCACAUUUCCAGCUAAGUUUUUCUAAAUGAAAUAAACGAAGCGGGUAGCGUCCUACCUAUCUCUUAAAAAAAAAAAAAUAAAAAAAAAUAAACUCUUAUAUUCUAU
rnacentral:lncRNA from 1 species